GUUUAGGUUGGAAAGGACCUUAAAAAUCAUCUGGUUCUAACCCCUGGCCACAGACAGGGAUACCUUCCAUUAGACCAGGUUUCUCAGGACCUCCUCCAACCUGGCCUUGAACACUUCCAGAUAGCUGUAAACUGUAGACUUUUCUGGUGCAAUGAUCUGCUGAAAAGCUCCAGGUGACUGAGAAGGUGAAGAGAGGAGAUGCUCUGCAGGAUCUGAUUUUCACAAACAGAGAGGAACUGGUUGAGAAUCACAGAAUCCAAGAAUCACACAGAAUCACUAGGUUGGAAGAGACCUUCAAGAUGAUUGAGUCCAACCCAUGACCUAACACCUCAACUAGACCAUGGCACUGAGUGCCACAUCCAGUCUUUUUUUAAACACAUCCAGGGAUGGUGACUACACCACCUCCCCAGGCAGGCCAUUCCAGUACUUUAUCACCGUUUCUGUAAAAAACUUUUUCCUAAUAUCCAACCUAUAUUUCCCUUGGCCCAGCUUAAGACUGUGUCCUCUGGUUCUGUCAGCUGCUGCCUGGAGAAAGAGACCGACCCCCACCGGACUGCAACCACCUUCAGGGAGCUGUAGAGAGUGAUAAGGUCACCUCUGAGUCUCCUUUUCUCCAGACUAAACACCCUCAGCUCCCUCAGUCAUUCCUCACAGGGUUUGUGUUCCCAGCCCCUCACCAGCCUCGUUGCCUCCUCUGGAUGUGCUCAAGCCUCUCAACAUCCUUCCCAAACUCAGGGGCCAGAACUGGACACAGCACUCAAGGUGUGCCCUCACCAGUGCCAAGUACAGGGGAAGGAUGACCUCCCUGCUCCUGCUGGCCACACUAUUCCUGACACAGGCCAGGAUGUCCCUGGCCUUCUUGGCCACCAGGGCACACUGGUGGCUCAUGUUCAGCUGGCUGUCACCAGUACCCCCAGGUCCCUUUCUGCCUGGGCACUGUCCGGCCACACCAUCCCCAGCCUGUAGCACUGCAGGGGGUUGUUGUGGCCAAAAUGCAGGACUCGGCAUUUGGAGUUGUUAAACUUCAUCUUACCGGACUCUACCCAUCCAUCCAACCAUUCCAGGUCUCUCUGCAGAGCCCUCCUACAUUCCAACAGACUGACACAUGCUCCCAGCUUAGUGUCAUCUGCAAAUUUACUGAUGAAAGACUCAAUCCCCUCAUCCAUGUCAUCGAUAAAAAUAUUGAACAGAACUGGCCUCAGCACAGACCCCUGAGUGGGAAUGCCAGGAGCAGAUGAAACUCAGGCUCCUGAGAGAAGACAGCAAUUUAACAACUCUCGAAUCAGAAAAGCAAACAAUAGAAGAAUACGGGAAGAAUCCCAUGUGACACCCUCUUGCAGAAGAGAGUUCAGAAGGAGUUCAGGAGGGUUGAUUGAUUUUCAAAGAUCAGCUCUUCCAGACUCAAGAGUUGUCGAUUCUCACCUGCAGGAGGUAAAACAGAGGUGGGAGGAGGCCUGCAUGGAUGAACAAUAAGAUCAAAGUUAAAAAAACCCCAACAUUCAAAAGGUGGAAGUAGUUAGGUGAUAUGGGAGGAAUAUAGAGAUACUGACUAAGCAUGUAGGGAUCAGGUUUGUAAAGACAAAGCCCACUUGGAAUUGAAUCUAGCUAGAGACAUGAAGGGUAAAAAGGCAGGUUUCUACAGGUAUAUCAGCCACAAAAGGCAUACUGGGAAAAAUGCUGGCUAACUGCUGAACAGGGCAGGUCACCUGGUGACAGAGGGCACAGAAAAGACCAGUGUACUCAGUACUCUUUUCUCGUUGGUCUCUACUGGUAAAACCAACCUUCAGGGAUCUCCAGGAUCUACCCAUUUACCUUAGAGACAUGGAAACAACUGGAAUAAGCAAGAAUUGCCAUUGCUGGAGAAGGACCCCUUACACAGCGAGAAUGAAGACAAGUCAGUCUGAUGCAAUGCAACCACAAGUGCUGAGGGAGAUAAUGUCACUGCAAGACCUUUCUUGAAUUGCCAUCAGGAAAGGAUCCUGAGGACUGGAAGAAAGCCAAUGUCACUCCUUUCUUCAAGAAGAAACUGCAGAUUGGUUGGAGCAGUGUAUGUUGUUAUCUUGAGUUUGGCAAGGUUUUUGACACUGGUGGCUGUAGCAUCCUUCCUGGUAAAUCAGUGAUGCACAGAGUAGACAACAGGACUGAGUUGGACUGAAAAUUGCCUGAACUGCUAGGCUGAAAGGACUGUGAUCAGCCACACAAAUUCACCUGGAGGCCACUCACUAGAGCUGUACAGUGGAGAUUCAUGUUGGGCCAAAAGUGUUUAACAUGUUCAUAAGAUAGCUGGACAGUGGGACAGAGUGCUUCCUCAGCAAGUUUACACAUGAUAGAAAACUGGAAUGAGUGGCUGCUAUACCAAAUGUUUGUGACUGGAGAAACAUGCUGACAAAAACCUCCUGAAGGUCAAAAAAGUGAAAUGCCUAGUCAAAGCAACCCCUAGAACUGCAGGUACCAGUAAAAGCUGCGGGGUCAAUGAGAUGAAAAGCAGCUUUAAUACAAAGGACCUUCUGGGCUUCAUUAGGAAGGGAUUUGCCAGCAGGUCAAGGGAGGUGAUUCUGCCCCUCUACUCAGUGCUGUUGAGUCCACACCUGGAGUUCUGGGUUCUGCUCUGGGCUGUCCAAGACAAGAGAGAUGUUGAGCUACUGGAGAGAAUCCAGUGCAGGGCCAAGAAAAUUGUUAAGGAACUGGAGUGUCUCCCCUAACAGGAAAGGCUGAGAUAGUGAGAUAAUUGGCAUGAUUGAGUCAUGAGAUAAGGAAGCUCAGAGGGAUCUCAUCAGUGUGAAUAAAUGCCUGGAGGAGGUGACUGAAAAGGAUGGAGUCAGGAUAUUUUCAGUGGUGCCUAAUGACAGGACAAGAGUCAAUGGAGCAAAUGAAACACAGGAAAUUCCACUUAAACAUAAAAAACCAGUAAUUUCUGUGAGAGUGGUUAAACACAGGCACAGGUUUCCCAGAGAGGUGGUGGAUUCUCCAUCCUUGGAGAUUUUCAAAACCCAGUGAGACAUGACCUUGAAAAUCUGCUUUAAGUUGACCCUGCUUUGAGCAGGGGGUUUGGCCUAGUUGGUUUCUAACAGUACUUUCCAAACUCAGCCAUUCACCAAAAUUAUUGCUUAUAUCAUAGACCAAAAAUUCUUGGCUCUGUGGGAAGUCCCAUGUCACAGCCUGGAUGCAAUCAUGCUCUUCAGCUGCUAAUAUGUUCUGUUAGAAAGAAUUUACCUAUCAACCUGCAGAAUGUAAGCGCACGUAGGAUCCUGACAACCAGGGACAGAGCAGGGACCUUUUGGCACCUGAUUCUGGGGUAGAUGGAAGAUACUUUUCUGCUCCUCACCAGCUGCAUUCCCUAGAGGCAGGGCUUCCCCAUCCCCAGGUAGGGAUCACAGUCAGCACCACGACCUUGGUGCAUCAGUCUGCUGGAGAGCAGGAGCAAGCUGCUGGUGGGGAACAGCUGGCUCUGCUGGCGUUGAGGCAUCUGGGGAGCCCUUCUCUCAAGGAGAAGCUGCAGCUGAUUUUUCCAGCCUACUUUCUAGACCUUUUGUGCUGAUCUCAAAAAGCACAAAGGGAAUAGAGCAGGCCUGGGAAUAUGUGUGAAAAAAUAUCUCCCCCAGUCUUCUACAUACUGCAGAGAAGGAGUAUAUAACAGCAUGACUUUUGUAGCAGUUCCAUAGAGAUAAAACCACUUUGGAAAGAAGUUUUUCAUUGUUUAGCAAAAAUAAUUUUCUCCCCAGGUUUGAAUUAGACAAAGUAAUUUUGUUUUCUCUCCAAGGUCCUCUUAUUGUUAUGGCUAUUAUCAACAAUGAAUUGUUUUGAACACCAAGAAUAAGAAGAAAGCUAUACAUUUUUUUUCACAUCAUCCUUUUACUAGUAAAUUUUGGCUUAGACCACUUACUCUAUUUAGGAUUAAUGCAUUCAUGAGUCUUAUUUUCAGUAGCUAUGAAGAAAAGACAUUUUAAAGCAAAUUGAGUUAGGUGAUAUCUUCUCUAAUGCAUUUUUAAUGUAUGAGACAUUGUAAGGACCAGAAAAGCAUUCUGUGCUCUGCAAUACAUUUGACAACUAAAAAACAAAAACCCCAAGAAAACCCAAUAAAAAAGAAAGAUAAAAACAAGAUAACAGAACAUAUGGGAGAGUGAAAGAUACAGCCAUGCUAUUAGUGUCCAGUGAGCAAAUUUUAUUGGGAUUUCCAAUAUAUGAAGGAUGAAUAUGAUUACUGCUGGGGGUAUGAAGAAGAUGUUGUGAUAUUAAUAAGAAUGUAAUUCCAUAAGAAAUUGUCUUGUGAUUUACAUCUAAUAAUAUUACUGAAAUGAGGCUAAUGAAGGCAAUCAAUCCUAUAUAAUACAUUUUUGUAAAUCUGAUUCUCAAAGCAUUUCUGAUAGAAAGAGGAUAGAUUUGUCUUCUCCCAGGAAUCCCUGCCAACAUGAGAGCUCCCACUGAAAUCAAUUGACAAGCAGACAGGGGAGUAAAUAAACCUCUGUGGGUGCACUUCUGCUCUGCCCUGCUUCUGUAGUUCCUCUCUCAUGGCAAUGUCCUUAGAGUCACAUUUUCUGUAAGAAAACUGCUCCAGUGGAUCUGGAGCGCAGUCUCACACCUUACUGCCCUGCUAAUGAACUCUGCCUGCUAUGAAAGCUGCCUUUGCUCUUGCUGUGUUGGGUACAGAUCACAAAGUCCUUUGCUGCGCUGCACCAGUCUCUCCAGACCUUUGGGUAUCUAUGCCAUUAGCUGGUCUGCACUGCACCCCACGCUGCUUGGAUCUACUGAUGUCACACUAAAGGAAGGCAAGCUUCAUUGGAUUUACCCAUUCUGUAUGAACACUGCAGACUGCAGUGCAUUUCCCCACCCCGGCCUCCCUUUCUCUAAGCAACUGAAAUCAGCUUCAGUUUUAUUUAGCAGAUCCCUGUAAACAUACAUACUUAUUUCCCUCUUUGUCCCCUCCCUUGUCUGUUUCAUUACCCAUUUUCCUUGUAAAGGACAAUGUGAUUUAUAAUAUGUAUUUUUACAGCAUUUGGAACAACACCUAUUUCUUCAGAGAAAUGUAAUGGAAUAUAUUUAAAACCACGGAAAUUUUAAAUAUCUGGGACUGCUUGAAGUACAGACUCAUAGUUCUCCUUAUAGGGGGAUAUCUACAAUGAAAUUACUAAUCUUGUGAAUAAUUUUGUGGAUGUUAAAGCACAACCUCUGUUCUGGGUAGACUGUGAAGAGAAGCUCCCACACACCUUUAUCUCCACAUGCCCAGCACCUCCUUCUUCAGGAUUCUGGAAAUGGGCAUUCUAGCAGAGCUUUCUGUCUCUGUCACCAUGCUAAUUUAAGUUAAUGGCAAUAACCUUUUUGAUGUCAGUGAGUCAGGAUAAAAGCUUGUGUAAACAGCCAGCACUCACAUCUUUCCUCAUCUCAAGAACCUUGCUGACAUCUGACUUAACACCUUACAUAUCCACCUCACUCAAAUACUUAAGUAAGAACAGAUAUGUGACAGCAAGGAGGUAGAAUGGUGAAGAAAAGGAUGUGAAUAUAGGGUUGGAUUAAAGGUAUAGUGCUAUAGACAAGAUCAUAAUUUUUUUUUCUGUGCAAGUUUUUUUCUAUAUCUCAGUCCAAGCAGCUGUUGAGGCAAGCAGUAUGAGCACAGGAGAUUAGGGGCAAAAAUAUAUUUGAACCAUCAGAUGCUUGGAAAAACUGCAGUCUUAUCUGAGUUUGUUGAGAAGAGCCUGAGACUGGAGAAACACCAAGGGAAUGGCUACUGGUUUAAAAAGAAAAAAAGAAAAACAGUUGAUUAUAUUUUGUCAGAAAAGGAAAGAUUUCAGUCCUCACUGGUUUUUUUUUUUGUUUGAGGUUACUUAUGAAAACCACUUAGCCCAGAGCAGAUUAGAUCCUGGCACUGUUGUGCUGUCAUCACUGUAAAUUCAUUAAUGUUUCAGUGAACUGUUCUAAUGCCAUUAGACUGCUCCAUGUCACAUGUGUUAUGUCUAUGAAUGCUCUCUUUGUCUCUUUGUGUAGCAAGGAAGGUGAAAGGCACUGGAAUUGAACUCAUUCUUCAAGCUGCGAAUCUUUGCAAUCAUAAAUAAAGUCCCUUCAGCUUAACAUUCAUUGCCUCCUUUCUCAUUUAAAAACAGAUGUGAGCACAAGGAGAAGGCAGGUGCAGAGUGCCUCUUUCAGCUGCUUUUGAAGGAAAGCAGGAAGUGAAUAAGUCACAGAGAGCUGUGCUGUUUGGGUCUUUAGAAAGCAUUUAUAGCUUCUAGGUACGUUCCUGUUAAUGAGGGUAUGAGAUGUCAGCUCUUUGGAAGUUAGAGCAUGCACUGUUGCACUCUCAUCAACUCUGAUGGAUGCAGUGUGUAUGGGAAUAUAAUUUAAACAUGAGGAUAUGAGGAAUGAUUUAUUAAGUUACCACAGAAACUACUUAAGAAAAAAAUGUCUAAUACUAGAAAAAAAGUCUGGCGUAGUUGAAUGCUAUAUAAACCACAAAAUUUGUUAUAAACUGGAAACCCCCAAAUAGAUUACUUUCCUUACACUGCAGCACUGUCUGAAAAUGCAUAUAAAUACCCUGAACAGUAUCUGUAAAAUAUUACAACUUACAACAUCCAGACUCCUAAACCUAAUGAAGGCCACAAACUGAUUGCUGCCAAUCUUAUUACUGCUGUUAAAGUCAGCAGCAAUAUCUGAGAGCAUGCUAUGCUUGGGUGUGUGGUGAGAAUCUGAAUACUGCCAUUUUCCCCCUUAGGCAAUCCAACUUCCACACAAAAUAGUGUCCUUUUUUAAUGAGGGCAAGAUCAGACAUGAGAUGAUCCAUGCUCUCUACAAGAUGCCAGACUGAGGUGAGCAGAAAAGAAUAAACAGCACUAUAGCCUCUCUCUCUUCUCUUUCCACAUCUUUCAGGUUUGAUGUGGGUGGAAACACAUUAUUCUUUGUAAAGAGCUGGCACAAUUUGCCCUCAUUAGCAGAGCAUGCCCACUUUUUUUUGCUACUCUUGCUGUACCUCAUUUGAAACACCACACUGCAGGGAUUUUGCAGUGUCUGGGAUUUUGACUAUGAAAGGAGAAGUUUACAAGAAAAGCGCCUGCAGCUUCCUGGGCUUGAUGCACUGCAUUGUCUGGCAUGGAUUUCACUUUCCCCAUGACACUGAAAAAGCACUGCCAUGGAACAACUUGCUUUGAUGCCCUGUGCUAGCAAACAAGUUCUGUGAUAAACAAGCUUUUAAUCCUGUAUUUCCACACUUUUGCUAAGCAAAUUGCAACUUGACAAAGCUGUGUGUCAAUGACUGUGCCAAAAGCUCAGCCCUGAACAGAGCUGGUAAAAGAGGGUAGGAGAGAAAGUGCUCACAGGAAGCCCACAGAAGAAUUGUACUUUAGAAGCUUUGUCAGUGCUUUGAUUUAGUGCCAUCAGUCUCCUGCAGCAGGCCUUCUACUAAGUGCUAGUGUAGACAGCCCAGGAAAACUCCCAAGAAGCCAUAAAUGAUGCUUGUGACCUGAAAAGUAUCUUCUGCCUCCCUGAAUUCUAAGGAGGGAUCUGCCAAAGCAAGAAACGUGCCGGGACUCAUGAGGAGCCUGCCCUUUCUUGUGAUAAGGUCUCUAUGGAAAGAACUGCAGUCUAAUCAAAGUACAUAAGUAGCCAAAUCUCAGCAUCAGGUUUUCAGGAAAAAGCCCUGCUGGUCCCUUCCAUAUGACUCCGGUCCACAAGUGUCACAGUGAACAGCUGGUGAAGAGCCACGUUCUGAAUGAAGGGAAUACCCAGCACUAAAAUGUGUGUUAAUACACCCAAGAUAGAGUUUUUCAGUGUCAAAAUUAGCAGUUUGGGAAGCAGCACAGGAAUGUGAGUAGCAGAGGACCUUUUCUGCUUACCUGAAAGUUGUCUUGUUGCCUGAAAUCUUCACAAUAUCCUGAAGUAUUGCACUGUCUCCUGGUGCUAUUCCUCUGUUCCUUUUUCAGAUGAAGAGAGCUUAUCUGCUUUGCUGAUGCAAAUACAACAAAGCACAUUAUGCUACGAACUAACUCCCUUCCUGUGGAACAAACAUUAGGAAGCAGCUGAAGAGAUAUUCAAGACUCCCGUGUUUCAAUAUAAACCAAAAAAAUGCCUGUUUUCAGAUUCUUAAACAGGAGGGUGCAGACUGUAAUACAAAAUCUAAUCACAAGAAUAAAUGUCUGAUAUGAAA